rnacentral:rRNA from 1 species
GAUGAACGCUGGCGGCGUGCCUAAUACAUGCAAGUCGAGCGAACAGACGAGGAGCUUGCUCCUCUGACGUUAGCGGCGGACGGGUGAGUAACACGUGGAUAACCUACCUAUAAGACUGGGAUAACUUCGGGAAACCGGAGCUAAUACCGGAUAACAUGUUGAACCGCAUGGUUCAACAGUGAAAGACGGUCUUGCUGUCACUUAUAGAUGGAUCCGCGCUGCAUUAGCUAGUUGGUAAGGUAACGGCUUACCAAGGCAACGAUGCGUAGCCGACCUGAGAGGUGGAUCGGCCACACUGGAACUGAGACACGGUCCAGACUCCUACGGGAGGCAGCAGUAGGGAAUCUUCCGCAAUGGGCGAAAGCCUGACGGAGCAACGCCGCGUGAGUGAAGAAGGUCUUCGGAUCGUAAAACGCUGUUAUUAGGGAAGAACAAAUGUGUAAGUAACUAUGCACGUCUGGACGGUACCUAAGCAGAAAGCCACGGCUAACUACGU